GGCGUUUUUGGCAUCUCACUCAUGCCUUUUGGGAAGGAAACCAUAGGCUAUUCUACGAGCUGCCACCAAUCCCACAAAAUCCUCACAUUGGUGUGGCUAAAAUAGAGUUCUUUAUUGAGCAAAAGGCUCAAUUAAAGAUCACAACUAUGGCAACUCACCUGCAUGCAAUCACAAUAAUAGGCAGAUCCAACAAAAAUUACUCAAUAAUCACUAGAUCCGCCAUCAAAU
rnacentral:misc_RNA from 1 species